GGGGCUGGGAGGGGAGACACUGGCUCAGAGCCUGUUACUUUAUGCCUCUGGCUGAAGGGUUUCAUGGUGGAACCUGUUAAAUUAAGUGAUAUAUUCUCACCUUAAAGUGUAAAGGACAAAAUUCAGGGAAGCGCUCUUACCCAGAAGGCUUCUGGGAGAGCGUCUGAAGGAAUUCAACUAUUGACAAGCCUGAGGGUGUUAUCAGCACUUACUACUCUGCGGGGUUUUGCUGCUCAAAGACUUUAAUCCGACACAGAAACUGACAUGAGAUCACUUCUUUUACCUUGUGGGUGGCAAAACCUCACGCUGCAAAAAGAGAAAAAGGUCUCAACAUGAAAGACAAUCACACGCAGACAGGAUGCGGCGUGUGUGGCUCAGCUCUCUGGCCAGCUGCCGGGCCCCGACACCCGGGGGGAGGCCGCCACCAGGCCCUCACCGAGCCGCCUCACCUCACCUUGCUUCACAGGAGCUCAAAGUGAGGGUUCUUCACGUGCCCUCCACACUAGCCCUCUGUGAGAUGCACAGAUUUGUGGCCGUCUUCCUCCAGUCUGUGGCUUGCGUACCCAUUUUCCUAAUGGUGUAUUCUUGUGAGCAAAUUUUUUAAUGUUGAUGAAGUCCAGCUGGUAAGUGGUUACAGAUUCUGGUCUCGUCUCUGCUGACUGUUUACCGGUCCCCACACUGUGGAGAUGCUCCCCUGUGCUUUCUCCCAGGAGCUGUACAUUUUCACUGCUUCUGUGUUUCUGUCUAAGCCUUCUAAAAUUGCUUUCUCUCUAGGGUGUGAGAUUCUUCUCUUCCAUAUGGAUAUUCUUUUGAAAAUAUUUUUCUUUUUCUGUUGAAUGCCUUUGGAGACUGUUGAAAACCAGUUUUGAAUCUGUCUGUGGACUCGGCUCCGCUUCACUGAUCUGUCUGUCUUUGCGCUGUCAUUGCACGCUCCUGAUCGCUGUCGCUUCAGAGCACGUCUUAGAGUCAGGCACGGUGAGUCCUCAAACUUCGUUCUUUUCAAGGUGGUUUAGACCAUUCUGGGCCUUGUGAUGUCCAUGCAAAUUUUAAAAUCAGACCAUCAGUUUCUACCAAGAAGCCAGCUGGGACUUCUACUGCACUGAGUCCACAGACCAGUCUGGGGAGAAGUGACGUUGCCAAUAUGAGUCCUUCCUCCCGUGAGGGCGGCCUCUCUCUCCGUCUGCAUCACAGGUUUUCUGUAAUUUCCCACAGCACUUUUUGGCAGGUUGCAGAGAA